rnacentral:snRNA from 1 species
GGAUGUGAGGGUGAUGUGGCUGUGACAUCUGUCACCCAAUGGAUCGCCAGGGUUGAUUCGGCUGAUCUGGCUGGCUAGGUGGGUGUCCCCCUCCUCCCUCACCGCUCCACGUGCAUCCCUCCCAAAGCUGCGUGCUCAGUCGAAGAGGACGAACUUCCCUGCUAGAAAAGGAUUAGUCUUCGGUCAAGGGUAUAUGAGUAGCUGCACUCCCCUGCUAGAACUUCCAAACACUCCCUCAAGGUCCAAAGCCAGGAGCCAGGAGCUUCUUCCAGGUCUCCCAUGUGUGUGCAGGGGCCCAAGGACUUGAGCCAUCUUCUGCUAU